rnacentral:rRNA from 1 species
AUUGAACGCUGGCGGCAUGCUUUACACAUGCAAGUCGAACGGUAACAGGCCUUCGGGUGCUGACGAGUGGCGAACGGGUGAGUAAUGCAUCGGAACGUACCCAGAGGUGGGGGAUAACGCAGCGAAAGCUGUGCUAAUACCGCAUGUGAUCUGAGGAUGAAAGCGGGGGACCGAGCAGCAAUGUUUGGCCUCGCGCCUUUGGAGCGGCCGAUGUCGGAUUAGCUAGUUGGUGGGGUAAAGGCCUACCAAGGCGACGAUCCGUAGCUGGUCUGAGAGGACGACCAGCCACACUGGGACGGAGACACGGCCCAGACGCCUACGGGACGCAGCAGUGGGGAAUUUUGGACAAUGGGCGCAAGCCUGAUCCAGCAAUGCCGCGUGCGGGAAGAAGGCCUUCGGGUUGUAAACCGCUUUUGGCAGGAACGAAACGGUGUCCGCUAAUACCGGGCGCUAAUGACGGUACCUGCAGAAUAAGCACCGGCUAACUACGUG